rnacentral:rRNA from 1 species
UAGCUAUUCNAUUGUUCAGAGGUGAAAUNCUUGGAUUUAUUGAAGACUAACUACUGCGAAAGCAUUUGCCAAGGAUGUUUUCAUUAAUCAAGAACGAAAGUUAGGGGAUCGAAGACGAUCAGAUACCGUCGUAGUCUUAACCAUAAACUAUGCCGACUAGGGAUCGGAUGAUGUUAAUUUUUUAAUGACUCA